rnacentral:rRNA from 1 species
CCUACGGGGAGCAGCAGUGAGGAAUAUUGGUCGAUGGGCGCGAGUCUGAACCAGCCAAGUCGCGUGAGGGAAGACGGUCCUAUGGAUUGUAAACCUCUUUUGUCGGGGAGCAAAAGACGCCACGCGUGGCGUUCCGAGAGUACCCGAAGAAAAAGCAUCGGCUAACUCCGUGCCAGCAGCCGCGGUAAUACGGAGGAUGCGAGCGUUAUCCGGAUUUAUUGGGUUUAAAGUGUGCGCAGGCGGAAGAUCAAGUCAGCGGUAAAAUUGAGAGGCUCAACCUCUUCGAGCCGUUGAAACUGGUUUUCUUGAGUGAGCGAGAAGUAUGCGGAAUGCGUGGUGUAGCGGUGAAAUGCAUAGAUAUCACGCAGAACUCCGAUUGCGAAGGCAGCAUACCGGCGCUCAACUGACGCUCAUGCACGAAAGUGUGGGUAUCGAACAGGAUUAGAUACCCGGGUAGUC